rnacentral:tRNA from 1 species
GUUUUUAUAGUUGAAGUACAACAGUAGUUUUUCAGACUAUCAGUCUAGGUUAAAAUCCUAGUAGGAAUA